rnacentral:rRNA from 1 species
UACGUAGGGGGCAAGCGUUGUCCGGAAUCAUUGGGCGUAAAGCGCGUGUAGGCGGUCCGGUAAGUCCGCUGUGAAAGUCGGGGGCUCAACCCUCGGAUGCCGGUGGAUACUGUCGGGCUUGAGUACGGAAGAGGCGAGUGGAAUUCCUGGUGUAGCGGUGAAAUGCGCAGAUAUCAGGAGGAACACCAAUUGCGAAGGCAGCUCGCUGGGACGUUACUGACGCUGAGGCACGAAAGCGUGGGGAGCAAACAGG